rnacentral:rRNA from 1 species
GGGCCCGCACAAGCGGUGGAGUAUGUGGUUUAAUUCGAUGCAACGCGAAGAACCUUACCAGGGUUUGACAUCCUGCGAAUCCCUAUGAAAAUAGAGAGUGCCCUUCGGGGAGCUCUUGCACAGGUGCUGCAUGGCUGUCGUCAGCUCGUGUCGUGAGAUGUCGGGUUAAGUCCCUUAACGAGCGAAACCCUUAUCUCUAGUUGCCAGCGGGUAAUGCCGGGGACUCUAGAGAGACUGCCGGUGUCAAACCGGAGGAAGGUGGGGAUGACGUCAAGUCCUCAUGGCCUUUAUGUCUAGGGCUGCACACGUCCUACAAUGGUACGGACAAACGGACGCAAUACCGCGAGGUGGAGCAAAUCCUAGAAACCGUGCCUCAGUUCGGAUUGCAGGCUGCAACUCGCCUGCAUGAAGCCGGAAUCGCUAGUAAUCGCAGGUC